AUUGAACGCUGGCGGCAUGCCUUACACAUGCAAGUCGAACGGCAGCACGGGGGCAACCCUGGUGGCGAGUGGCGAACGGGUGAGUAAUACAUCGGAACGUGCCCAGUAGUGGGGGAUAGCCCGGCGAAAGCCGGAUUAAUACCGCAUACGACCUACGGGUGAAAGCGGGGGAUCGCAAGACCUCGCGCUAUUGGAGCGGCCGAUGUCAGAUUAGGUUGUUGGUGAGGUAAAGGCUCACCAAGCCGACGAUCUGUAGCUGGUCUGAGAGGACGACCAGCCAGACUGGGACUGAGACACGGCCCAGACUCCUACAGGAGGCAGCAGUGGGGAAUUUUGGACAAUGGGGGCAACCCUGAUCCAGCCAUGCCGCGUGCGGGAAGAAGGCCUUCGGGUUGUAAACCGCUUUUGUCAGGGAAGAAAUCUUCUGAGUUAAUACCUCGGGAGGAUGACGGUACCUGAAGAAUAAGCACCGGCUAACUACGUGCCAGCAGCCGCAGUAA
rnacentral:rRNA from 1 species